rnacentral:rRNA from 1 species
AAACCGCCUAGGGGUUAAGCCCGAUGAACCCGAAUAUCUGAAAUGGGAAAUUCAGUAUUGUUUAUUAUUGAUUUAAUAUUGAUAUAUAAAUUGUAUGCACUUUUCCCAUAGUAAGACAUUGCGAUCCAUUAGUAUAUUAACAUUUCUAUGUUAAUUGUUUAUUAAAAGGCCCAAGUGUUUAGUUUUUCCUAGCUGUGGUUAUUUUUUAAUUUCCAUAUGGAUAACAUCACAUGGUGUCCUAAUAAACAGCUGAUGGAGCUUAAAAAUCGUCCAAUCAUAUUUUAUAUGAAACACAAUUUAAAUAUUAUUAUUUAAAUGUACGUGUUAGGAUGUAUUUGAUUAGCAAUGCGAUAGAUUUGGGAUACCUUCGGGACCCGUCUUGAAACACGGACCAAGAAGUUUAACAUAGGCGCAAGUCAUUGGGUUAUUUGUAGAAACCUAAAGGCGAAAUUAAAAUAACUAGUUAUUCAUUCUUCGGAAUGGAUAAUAGAAUGGGAUUACGAAAAAUUUUUAUGAUUUUUCCUCCAUCCCGGGGCGUUCUAUAUGAACAUGAUUUAAGCAAUUAGAUCCUCUGUUCAAGAGCGUACCUUGAGCGUCUAUGUUGAGACCCGAAAGAUGGUGAACUAUACCUGAUCAGGUUGAAGUCAGGGGAAACCCUGAUGGAGGACUGAAGCAGUUCUGACGUGCAAAUCGAUUGUCAGAAUUGGGUAUAGGAGCGAAAGACUAAUCGAACCAUCUAGUAGCUGGUUCCCUCCGAAGUUUCCCUCAGGAUAGCUGGUGCAAUUAAUAAUCUAAUAUAUAAUCUUAUCUGGUAAAGCGAAUGAUUAGAGGCCUUGGGGCCGAAACGACCUCAACCUAUUCUCAAACUUUAAAUGGGUAAGAACCUCAUCUUUCUUGAUGUGAAGAUAUAGAGGUUUAGAUAUAUUGUGCCCAGUGGGCCACUUUUGGUAAGCAGAACUGGCGCUGUGGGAUGAACCAAACGUGAUGUUACGGCGCCAAAAUUAAUGACUCAUAUAGAUACCAUGAAAGGCGUUGGUUGCUUAAAACAGCAGGACGGUGGACAUGGAAGUCGUAAUCCGCUAAGGAGUGUGUAACAACUCACCUGCCGAAGCAACUAGCCCUUAAAAUGGAUGGCGCUCAAGUCAUAUGCCUAUACAUCACCGCUAGAGUAAUAGAAUUUUACUUUUAUGGGUAAAAUUUAUGAAACUCUAGUGAGUAGGAGGGUACAAUGGUGUGCGCAGAAGUGUUUGGCGUGAGCCUGCAUGGAGCCGCCAUUGGCACAGAUCUUGGUGGUAGUAGCAAAUAAUCGAAUGAGAUCUUGGAGGACUGAAGUGGAGAAGGGUUUCGUGUGAACAGUGGUUGAUCACGAGUUAGUCGGUCCUAAGCUCUAAGCGAAAGCUGUUUAAUUUAUGUA